rnacentral:rRNA from 1 species
AUUGAACGCUGGCGGCAUGCUUUACACAUGCAAGUCGAACGGCAGCGCGGGCUUCGGCCUGGCGGCGAGUGGCGAACGGGUGAGUAAUGCAUCGGAACGUGCCCAGUAGUGGGGGAUAGCCCGGCGAAAGCCGGAUUAAUACCGCAUACGACCUGAGGGUGAAAGCGGGGGACCGAAAGGCCUCGCGCUAUUGGAGCGGCCGAUGUCGGAUUAGCUAGUUGGUGGGGUAAAGGCUUACCAAGGCGACGAUCCGUAGCUGGUCUGAGAGGACGACCAGCCACACUGGGACUGAGACACGGCCCAGACUCCUACGGGAGGCAGCAGUGGGGAAUUUUGGACAAUGGGGGCAACCCUGAUCCAGCCAUGCCGCGUGCGGGAAGAAGGCCUUCGGGUUGUAAACCGCUUUUGUUCGGGAAGAAAUCCUCUGGGCUAAUACCCCGGGGGGAUGACGGGACCGGAAGAAUAAGCACCGGCUAACUACGU